UAGCGUUGUCCGGAUUUAUUGGGCGUAAAGAGCGUGUAGGCGGCCAGGUAGGUCUGCUGUGAAAACUCGAGGCUCAACCUCGAGACGUCGGCGGAAACCAUCUGGCUAGAGUCCGGAAGAGGAGAGUGGAAUUCCUGGUGUAGCGGUGAAAUGCGCAGAUAUCAGGAAGAACACCCGUGGCGAAGGCGGCUCUCUGGGACGGUACUGACGCUGAGACGCGAAAGCGUGGGGAGCGAACAGG
rnacentral:rRNA from 1 species